CCACAGAGUCUCUAUCACUAAACUUAGAAGUCAUCAUUAGUAAAUGUAAUGGGAACAGGAAAAUUGUCUUCGGCAACUAUAUGACAUUUUGGAUGUACAUGAGUUUGAUGCAAAACUACUGCCAGACAACUGCACUUGAACAAUAACAAAAAUGAUACAAAUGGAACUGUGCAAUAUUCAGAUACAGAGUGUCCUCUAGAGAUAUUGCUUCAGAUGACAUAUCACGUUUUUUAAAACAUGAGUCAGUCUCCAUCCUACCAGAGAGAUUCUUCCUCUGCAUCUCCUGAGAGUCCUAAAGAAGGUGACAUCUCCCCUCGACAGCUUUAUGACAACCUGAAGAGCCUGGAGGAGCACGAGACAUGUGACGACCAGAAAGAUCCCAUUGCUAACAUCAUAACUGACAACUACUCCAGCUCUCGUUUAAACACUCCGCUAGCGGCAAAUGACCUUGGGAAGCUACGUGCUGGCAUUGUUCUACAAGAACAAGCGAUUAAGAAAAGUAAUUGCAGAGAACUGAGAUGCUUCAGUACAUCGCCUAUAAAAAAGAAGCCUCCGGUCACACCAGAGUUCAUGGAGGUGCUUGCGUUGGAUGGAAGAUUAAUUACUUUGGUGAGCUCUCAGUGCCAGACAGAUUGGGAGUGGGUGGAGCAGAGUCUCUCUUUCA
rnacentral:lncRNA from 1 species